AAAAUGACCAAAAAGCCCCUAAGGCCUAAACAAGGUCGAACCCUUGCCUCUCCUGUCAAAUCAAUCGUACGCCUGGGCGUAGCCGAUUUUUUAUUCUGACCCUCGCCCUUCUCCAAUUCGCCCAGACCGGAUUAAAAGCCCUGAACAGCGUAGAAAGAAUGCCUCAGAGCUCAUCAUCAUCGAAGAAACACGGGACCGAUCAGCCGGACACUGGUGGGCCCGCCUCCAAAUCACAGAGGACCAAAAUGGUUAAAUCUUCCGAUGAUACUGAAAAAAAGAACUUAGCUAAGAAGCUCAAAGAGCUGGAAAUAAGUGUGCCUAUUGUGUAUGGUAAUAUUGCAUUUUGGCUCGGUAAGAAGGCUAGCGAGUACCAAUCUCACAAGUGGACUGUUUAUGUUCGAGGAGGAACGAAUGAGGAUAUCAGUGUGGUAGUGAAGCGUGUUGUUUUUCAAUUGCAUUCCAGCUUUAAUAAUCCCACAAGGGUUGUUGACGGCCCACCUUUCGAGCUGUCUGAAUCAGGGUGGGGUGAAUUUGAAAUUGUCAUAACCCUUCAUUUCCAUAAUGAUGUUUGCGAGAAGCCGUUGCACCUAUACCAUCAUUUGAAGUUGUAUCCAGAGGAGGAUUCUGGUCCAAUGUCCACCAAAAAACCAGUCGUCGUGGAAUCCUAUGAUGAAAUUGUAUUUACUGAGCCUUCAGAAGGUUUUUUCUCUCGCGUGCAGAAUCACCCAGCUGUUGUUGUGCCUAGACUGCCCGCUGGUUUUGCUUUGCCUCCUCCUGUGCCAUUGGAGGAUGCAGAUAAAAGGAGAAGAGGCGACACUAAAGAUCACACCUUAAGUCAGUGGUUCUCAAAUUUCUCAGAGGCUGAUGAACUGUUAAAACUUGCAGCAGCUCGUCAGCAGGUACAAGCUCAUAUUGCAACACUCAGAAGGCAAUUGAGUUUGAUAGAUGGGCAGCACCAACAGCUGAAAUCUGCCUCUGACAUGUAUUGCUGACUGUCAUGUGCUAGGAUCUUCAAAACUAAGGGAAGCUAGUGCACCUAAAAUCAUCCUUACUGCUGGGCGUGAUGUAGAUGAAACCAUGACAUUUUCUAGCAAGUUGAUGUACCCCAAUCCCUGAUCUUCUUGUUACGCCUAAAGAGUUGGAGGAUAGUUGUUGCUGUCUUGGCUUGAUAAGCCAGGUCUAAAAUAGGUGGGAGGUGCUCGAGUUCAACAGGAAAAGUUGCCUUCACAAGUGAAACUGGAGAAUAGAACUCGCAUAACUAUGGUGAUAUGAUUGGAUGACCACUUGAUUGAGUUGGGCUAUUAGGAUGUGGAAAGAAAUUGACUUUGAUUUAAAUGCACAUGUAGAUUCAGAGAAAGUUGCCAAUAUAUCGUUGAUGCUGGUCAAGUUGUUGGUUAAAGUCCCCGAUAUCUCUCCCUCCCACACAAGACGUCCCAUGUUAAAGACUGCUAAAACAUUUGAAUGCCGUGUUUCUCGCAUGAAACUUUUAUAUCUUUUCCUUUUUAUUACUUUUCUUUCACCACACAAGACAUGCUGUGGCAAACACCAACAGCAUAACUUGCCAAAAGAAGGCCUAAAACUACGUGAGGUGACACUUUAAUGAGACUCUCAUCAUGUUCUCUGUAAUUUGAUCAAAUCAGAAUCUCUUUCAACAUUCAAGAU